rnacentral:misc_RNA from 1 species
AAGUCGUAACAAGGUAACCGUAGGUGAACCUGCGGUUGGAUCAUUACAGAAAGAAAAGGAUGGUGGGCGGGAGGGGCCCAUCAGUCCUUCUUCAAUUGCUAUCUCGGAUCUGCACCAAAGCCCGCUUUACGAGUGAUGGAGGAGUUGAAGAAAAGCAACUAACCAAGGGGAUUUAGAGCAAGAUUCGAUAAUAGUGAUUGUGGUGUAAUGCCAAAAACAUUAUGUGCACUGUUUUGUCUCUGGCGGCAGGGUAAGUAUAAGUAUAUGUAAGUAUACUCUAUGGUUACCUGUCAGUCUGGUGUGAAAGUCAGACCGUGGACAAACCGCCAAUUGAUAAAUAAACUUGUAUUUUAAAAUUACGUCUGAUAUAAAGUUAUGUUGAAAUAUACAAACAACUUUUGGCAACGGAUCUCUUGGCUCUC